rnacentral:rRNA from 1 species
GAUGAACGCUGGCGGCGUGCUUAACACAUGCAAGUCGAACGGGAUCCCAGGAGCUUGCUCCUGGGUGAGAGUGGCGAACGGGUGAGUAAUGCGUGACCGACCUGCCCCAUACACCGGAAUAGCUCCUGGAAACGGGUGGUAAUGCCGGAUGCUCCGACAUGACGCAUGUCGUGUCGGGAAAGAUUCAUCGGUAUGGGAUGGGGUCGCGUCCUAUCAGCUUGAUGGCGGGGUAACGGCCCACCAUGGCUUCGACGGGUAGCCGGCCUGAGAGGGCGACCGGCCACAUUGGGACUGAGAUACGGCCCAGACUCCUACGGGAGGCAGCAGUGGGGAAUAUUGCACAAUGGGCGCAAGCCUGAUGCAGCGACGCCGCGUGCGGGAUGACGGCCUUCGGGUUGUAAACCGCUUUUGACUGGGAGCAAGCCCUUCGGGGUGAGUGUACCUUUCGAAUAAGCACCGG